AUUGAACGCUGGCGGCAUGCCUUACACAUGCAAGUCGAACGGCAGCGGACCUUCGGGUGCCGGCGAGUGGCGAACGGGUGAGUAAUAUAUCGGAACGUACCUUUCAGUGGGGGAUAACGUAGCGAAAGUUACGCUAAUACCGCAUAUUCUGUGAGCAGGAAAGCAGGGGAUCGCAAGACCUUGCGCUGAUUGAGCGGCCGAUAUCAGAUUAGCUAGUUGGUGAGGUAAAGGCUCACCAAGGCGACGAUCUGUAGCGGGUCUGAGAGGAUGAUCCGCCACACUGGAACUGAGACACGGUCCAGACUCCUACGGGAGGCAGCAGUGGAGAAUUUUGGACAAUGGGCGCAAGCCUGAUCCAGCCAUGCCGCGUGAGUGAAGAAGGCCUCGGUUGU
rnacentral:rRNA from 1 species